rnacentral:rRNA from 1 species
GACGAACGCUGGCGGCGUGCUUAACACAUGCAAGUCGAGCGAUGAAGCCGGAGCUUGCUCUGGUGAAUUAGUGGCGAACGGGUGAGUAACACGUGAGUAACCUGCCCUUGACUCUGGGAUAACUGCGGGAAACUGUAGCUAAUACCGGAUACGACCCUCGGAGGCAUCUCCUGGGGUGGAAAGAAUUUCGGUCAAGGAUGGACUCGCGGCCUAUCAGCUAGUUGGUGAGGUAAAGGCUCACCAAGGCGACGACGGGUAGCCGGCCUGAGAGGGUGACCGGCCACACUGGGACGGAGACACGGCCCAGACUCCUACGGGAGGCAGCAGUGGGGAAUAUUGCACAAUGGGCGCAAGCCUGAUGCAGCAACGCCGCGUGAGGGAUGACGGCCUUCGGGUUGUAAACCUCUUUUAGCAGGGAAGAAGCGAAAGUGACGGUACCUGCAGAAAAAGCACCGGCUAACUACGUGCCAGCCGCCGCCGUAA